rnacentral:rRNA from 1 species
UACGGGAGCACAUCAGCGGCAGACGGGUGAGUAACACGUAGAUGACGUACCCUCAAGACGGGGAUAACGGAUGGAAACAUGCGCUAAUACCGGAUGACCUUACGAUGUCAGAAUGGUAAGGAAAGCUACGGCGCUUGAGGAGCGGUCUGCGGCCCAUCAGCUAGUUGGUAGGGUAAAGGCCUACCAAGGCGAAGACGGGUAGGGGGUGUGAGAGCACGGNCCCCCACAAUGGGACUGAGACACGGCCCAUACUCCUACGGGAGGCAGCAGCAGGGAAUAUUGCACAAUGGACGGAAGUCUGAUGCAGCGACGCCGCGUGAGUGAAGAAGGCCUUCGGGUUGUAAAACUCUUUUGAGGGGGAAGAGCGAGGACGGUACCCCUGGAAUAAGCGUCGGCUAACUACGUGCCAGCAGCCGCGGUAAGACGUAGGACGCGAGCGUUAUCCGGAUUUACUGGGCGUAAAGCGUCUGUAGGCGGAUGUGUAAGUUGGGCGUGAAAGCUCCGGGCUUAACCCGGAGAGGCCGUUCAAUACUGCAUAACUUGAGGGUGUCAGAGGGGAGCGGAAUUCCCGGUGUAGCGGUAAAAUGCGCAGAGAUCGGGAGGAACACCAGUGGCGGAGGCGGUUCCCUGGGGCACACCUGACGCUGAGAGACGAAAGCUAGGGGAGCGAACCAGGAUUAGAGACCCCUGGUAGUCCUAGCCCUAAACGAUGAAUGCUAGGUUGUGGGAUCGAAUGGUUCCCGUGCCGGAGCGAACGCGAUAAGCAUUCCGCCUGGGGAGUACGCCGCAAGUUACACUCAAACGUAUUG